GUAGUCUCGCACAGAUGCAUAUCAAUAAGCGGAGGAAAAGAAACUAACAAGGAUUCCCUUAGUAACGGCGAGUGAAGCGGGAAGAGCUCAAAUUUGAAAUCUUCAAGGUUUUACCUUGACGAAUUGUAGUUUAAAGAAGUGUUUUCUGUUGAAGUUUUGGUAAAAGUUCUUUGGAAUAGGACAUCAUAGAGGGUGAGAAUCCCGUAUUUGACCACUAUUUUCAGCUGUGUGAUACACUUUCAAAGAGUCGGAUUGUUUGGGAAUGCAGUCCAAAAUGGGUGGUAAAUUUCAUCUAAAGCUAAAUAUUGGCGAGAGACCGAUAGCGAACAAGUACCGUGAGGGAAAGAUGAAAAGAACUUUGAAAAGAGAGUUAAACAGUACGUGAAAUUGUCAAAAGGGAAGCGUUUGACACCAGUGUUGUUUUCUCGAAAAUCAAUUAAAAAGAGUUAGAUUUUGUUGUGUAUUGACCUUAACAGCUUGCAUUUCAAUUUUCUUGCUUUUUUUAAUGCACUUUUCGUUUAACAAGUCAACAUCAGUUUCUUUUGUUGUAAAAAGGUCAUUGGAAGGUGGCUUUCUUUUCGGAGGAAGUGUUUAUAGCCUUUGACUCCUGCAAUCGGAGAGACUGAGGUCUGCAGCGUAGAUCCUUCGGGGUUAGAUACAUUUGUGCUAAGUUAUAGCUUUUUAUAGACAACUUGUUGACUAUGAUUAGUCUUGUAGCUUACUCGCUUAUGCUAUUUUACCUACGCUUAGGAUGUUGAAGAUGUAGCACAUCACACACGCAUGACACACUGCAUAUCAAUAAGCGGAGGAAAAGAAACUAACUAGGAUUCCCUUAGUAAUGACGAGUGAAGCGGGAAGAUCUUACUCGCUUGCGCUAUUUUACCUACGCUUAGGAUGUUGAGCGCAUGUCUCUCUCU
rnacentral:rRNA from 1 species